rnacentral:lncRNA from 1 species
UUUAAUCAUGCUAUUAAUUAAUUCCAAACAGAUAAUGCAUAAGAUUACUCGACUUCAAAAAAAAAAAAAAAAAGAUUACUCGACUUCUGGAAUGACACAAGGCAUGGAAUAGUAAGCUAUGUUACGGUGAGACUCUCUUCUUCCUGGAUCUUGUGGAUCUGUUAUAUCAGAAGGUCAGUAGCAGUGCUAUUUCUAUUGGAGAAUUUUCAUUUAAACAGAUUAACAUAUUUGAAAAAUUUCUUUCAAUAAUGACACAAAACAUAAAUAUAAAAAUCUGUAUUUAUUAUAGGUAGCAUAAAACAUUUUUUUGCGUCAAUUAUUGUUGUGAUUUAGGCUGAAUAAUGCCAGCUAUUUUGCUACUGUGCUGAAGUCCUCUUUUUUGAGCCUACAAUGAACCUGUAAUACUUAUGGAAAGAGUUACCAUAGCAACCUAUAUUGAUGUCACAAGCUCAGGCUUCUGACUUCAUUGCAUAAUGCAGUAGCAACUGGAUUUGCAGCAGAAACACCCUGCUAAAGAACAAGUAUCUUGGUUCACAGCAAAGAGGACAAAGGAAAACAGCAAGUUAUAGGGAGUUGAAUGCUGGAUUGUCAUCAGAGCCUGUGUGGCACUGCCCACAAGUCCUUGGUGGGUUCUGGAGCUGUCCAAGGUUCCAAAGUUCCAGGGAGGGAGCCUGCAGCAGUCAGAGGGCUCUGGGCUCUGCUUCAACUCAGUACUGUGAGCCACAUAUCAAAGCUACCAUCGUCAGAAGAAUCAGCCUUUUGAUUUUUGAUUUGUCAUCGUCAUACAAGAUAGGCCCAUCUUAAAAGAAGGGAUGAUGCGAUUGGAUGGAAAUAUGCAGCAGGGCUUGGGUGUUGGCCAAGACUCCCCUAGCUUUGCCAUCCAUCCCAGAGAUGUCAUCACCUAAAUAAAUACCUUGUACACAGUCAAUAAAUAUUUGAUGUUUAUUUUGAAAAUUCCUGCUCUUAUUCACUUACAUUGCAGAAGCUUUG